UAGCGGAAACGACACUAACAAUCCUUCGGGUGCGUUAAUGGGCGUCGAGCGGCGGACGGGUGAGUAAUGCCUAGGAAAUUGCCUUGAUGUGGGGGAUAACCAUUGGAAACGAUGGCUAAUACCGCAUGAUGCCUACGGGCCAAAGAGGGGGACCUUCGGGCCUCUCGCGUCAAGAUAUGCCUAGGUGGGAUUAGCUAGUUGGUGAGGUAAUGGCUCACCAAGGCGACGAUCCCUAGCUGGUCUGAGAGGAUGAUCAGCCACACUGGAACUGAGACACGGUCCAGACUCCUACGGGAGGCAGCAGUGGGGAAUAUUGCACAAUGGGCGAAAGCCUGAUGCAGCCAUGCCGCGUGUAUGAAGAAAGCCUUCGGGUUGUAAAGUACUUUCAGUUGUGAGGAAGGGUGUGUAGUUAAUAGCUGCGCAUCUUGAC
rnacentral:rRNA from 1 species